rnacentral:rRNA from 1 species
AGUGAACGCUGGCGGUAGGCCUAACACAUGCAAGUCGAACGGCAGCACAGUAAGAGCUUGCUCUUACGGGUGGCGAGUGGCGGACGGGUGAGGAAUACAUCGGAAUCUACUUUUUCGUGGGGGAUAACGUAGGGAAACUUACGCUAAUACCGCAUACGACCUACGGGUGAAAGCAGGGGAUCUUCGGACCUUGCGCGAUUGAAUGAGCCGAUGUCGGAUUAGCUAGUUGGCGGGGUAAAGGCCCACCAAGGCGACGAUCCGUAGCUGGUCUGAGAGGAUGAUCAGCCACACUGGAACUGAGACACGGUCCAGACUCCUACGGGAGGCAGCAGUGGGGAAUAUUGGACAAAGGGCGCAAGCCUGAUCCAGCCAUACCGCGUGGGUGAAGAAGGCCUUCGGGUUGUAAAGCCCUUUUGUUGGGAAAGAAAAGCAGCAGGUUGAUACCCCGCUGUUCUGACGGUACCCAAAGAAUAAGCACCGGCUAACUUCGUG